CUUUGGACCUAAAGGGUCAUGUGGUAGAGAUCUGGGAAACACUGCUUUUGUACGGAAAGCCACUGUGGUUCUCCUCUUUGCAGCCAGCACAGGGUGCCUGGGAUAAGCAGGCAGACAGGCAUCUGAAGAAAGCAGGAGCAGGUGUGAAAGCAAAUCAUCCAGCAUCUCUCGUUCUUGCCAUUAUUUUGAGUUUCUGCACGGAUUCACACUGUGAUUGGGCCAAUGCACCCCGUCUCAGCUCAGCCCACAGCCCUGGCAGCCCCUUGGGGCAGGGUGGGCCUUCUGCUGGCAGAAGAGAUGAUGAAGGGAGAAUUCAAUGGAGAUCUAUAAAAUCCCGAGCGGCUCUGAGAAACAGCCUGAGCUCACUUCCCUUUCUUCCUUCUGCCCUGGAAUGGUGAGAGCAGCUCUGAGGCAGAGCAAGAGGAUGCCAACCAGCUGUCAGAGGAUGUGUUCGAGCUGUGUACUGAGCUCCUCUGUGGGAGCUGGGGCAGGCAGGAGCAGGAGAGCAACAUCCUCAUGCCUGGGGUGGGAUGGAGGGCUGGGAAGCUUCAGAGAGAUUUCCUGCUGCCAGGACACAGGAAAGGGAGUUAAACAAUUGAAUAGAACAAAAAAUAUAUAUAUUUUCUCAGGCUUCAGCAGAAUGCCCAGGUAGGGUAAAUCAUUAAAGGCAGACGUGUUUCUUGCUUGUGUGCCCUGCUCUGCCUGUG
rnacentral:lncRNA from 1 species